UAUAAAAUAAGGCAUCAUCAUACUGAUCAGUGGAGGCCUUUUGAGAAAAAGAGGUGGAGGAGCUUUGACUGUCCAAUAACCAUCUACUGUAGUCAAGAGAAGACUGGAGAAAAACUACAGAAAUAAAAGAUAAGGAAAAAAUUAAAAAGUAAAGAAAAUAAGCAUUGAGAAGGGAGCAGCAAAAUUGAAUGUAGUCCUGAAUCAGCCCUGUCAAAAUCACCUGGGAACUUACUGGAACUACAAGAACUUGGGGCUUGUCCCAAAACUACUGAAUCAAUGUACAUUCGAACAAGAUGCCCAGAAUCUAGUCAUCAUUUUAUUUCAGACCUCCUAAUUUGCCCUUGUUCUCAAGGAUGACCCAAAUGUUUUUGAACAGAGGAGCAAGGCUCUCUCUCCCCUGUUGCAAGAGUAAAGCUGAGAACAUAGGAGCUUAUUGCUGCCGGCAUCUAUGUGAAGAGCCGAGGCUGCCUGGCAACAAGCAGGAAAGGGGCAAGGAGUGUCCAGUUCCAGUCAUCACUAAUGCCUACCCUAUUCUUGCCCCUCCAGUUUGCAUGAGUUCCACAAAUUCUAUCACUGAUCUUGUUGGAGCUGAAUCUUUCUCACAAUCUUUAAAAAAACAAUAACAAAAAUGUCCUAAAGAAAGCACAGUGAAGGCAGCAAAAUUAUAGAGCUUGAUAAAAUAAAAGACAUGGAAACAACAAGAAGAAUGGAGAAAUGUCUGGUUAUUCCCAGGAACAAAAGAACUCCAAUUUGCAGUCUUGGAUGUCAACACCUCAGGGUGCAGAGUAUAAGACACUGAAAAAAGUGAGCCUGGGACUUUUGCUCAGGGAGACAGAUAUGCCUGUCCUGGUUCCACUGGCCUCAGAGAGUGUGUGGGGACAGCAGCAAUAGAUGUGUUGUUCCUCCCAAAGGCAGAACAAGCAGGAAGGGGAGAGAAGAGUCCAGCACCCAAGUGGAAUCCACCAACCAUGAGGGUGGAGAGAGGAGUAAAGAGAAUCAGGAGAGACAGGUUGCUGAG